CCUACGGGUGGCAGCAGUGAGGAAUAUUGGUCAAUGGCCGCAGGGCUGAACCAGCCAAGUCGCGUGAGGGAUGACGGUCCUAUGGAUUGUAAACCUCUUUUGUCAGGGAGCAAAGGGCGCCACGUGUGGCGUUUUGCGAGUACCUGAAGAAAAAGCAUCGGCUAACUCCGUGCCAGCAGCCGCGGUAAUACGGAGGAUGCGAGCGUUAUCCGGAUUUAUUGGGUUUAAAGGGUGCGUAGGCGGAUUUUUAAGUCAGCGGUAAAAUGUCCGGGCUCAACCCGGGCCGGCCGUUGAAACUGGGGAUCUUGAGUGGGCGAGAAGUAUGCGGAAUGCGUGGUGUAGCGGUGAAAUGCAUAGAUAUCACGCAGAACUCCGAUUGCGAAGGCAGCAUACCGGCGCCCGACUGACGCUGAGGCACGAAAGCGUGGGGAUCGAACAGGAUUAGAUACCCCGGUAGUC
rnacentral:rRNA from 1 species